rnacentral:rRNA from 1 species
AGUGAACGCUGGCGGUAGGCCUAACACAUGCAAGUCGAACUGCAGCACAGUAAGAGCUUGCUCUUACGGGUGGCGAGUGGCGGACGGGUGAGGAAUACAUCGUAAUCUACUUUUUCGUGGUGUAUAACGUAGGGAAACUUACGCUAAUCCCGCAUACGCCUUACGGGUGAAAGCAGGGGAUCUUCGGACCUUGCGCGAUUGUAUUCGCCGAUGUCGGAUUAGCUAGUUGGCGGGGUAAAGGCCCACCAAGGCGACGAUCCGUAGCUGGUCUGAGAGGAUGAUCAGCCACACUGGAAAUGAGACACGGUCAAGACUAAUAGGGGAGGAAGCAGUGGGGAAUAAUGGAAAAGGGGCGCAAGCCUGAUCCAACCAUACAGCGUGGGUGAAGAAGGCCUUCGGGUUGUAAAGCCCUAUUGUUGGGAAAGAAAAGCAGCAGGUUAAUAACCCGCUGUUCUGACGGUACCCAAAGAAUAAGCACCGGCUAACUUCGUG